GUCCGACCCCCUGUUGGAGAAUCAAACAGGGAGAUGCCUCUGUCUGAAUUAAAAAGUAAAUAUAGAAAAUUUUCGUCUUUAGAGAAGGCUCAGUCUGGUUGGGAAGAGGAAUAUGAAGUUUCAUCCAAAUAGUGUAUGCAUGGUCCCAAUUGUAAGAUUGGCAACUUUUGUAAAGUAAAUGUCUUGGGUGGCCUCAUCCUUCCUGUGUGGGGAGCCGUAGAAAAGCCCUUUCGAAACAGGUACUUCUGCAGCAUAGAAGUUGCCACGCACUAAAACAUUUUAUUGAAAAAGGCCUAUUAAUUAAACUGGUGAUUGGAGUUGAAUUUUGUAAUGAUGAGGUUUGCAGUGUAAAAUAUCUAGCAGAUUGUGUUGGAUUAUGAUAUCAGUUGAUAUGAUUUCUUAUAGUAUUAUUCACACAUAUCCUGUCGAGUGUACAUUAACCUUCGAGGUUCGUUAGAAUUUAUUUCUUUACUGUCGAAUUGUUGGAUCAUUAUCAAUUACUUGUGACUAAAUAUAAUAUUUUGAUUGAUAGUACUUCAAGAAAUUGCUUAAACAUAUUUGUCUUUGAAGAAAACUAAACUGCAGAACAAAAUCUGUACAGGCCCGUCUAAGCCAUAGGAGGUUACGAGCUGUACGCAUUGAAACUACUGUGGACACCCAACGUAUUGUUGGGCUUCUUGUUCCUAAUGCAGCAGUGGAAACUGUGCUUCAAGAUUUAGCAUGGGUUCAAGAAAUUGAUGAUUGACAUGUGAUAGUAGGAUUUGCUCAACUUUUUUUUUUAUCGAAGUUUGAAUUUCGGUACCACCUUUUGGAAGUUGCUUGCGCUACCACUGAUAUUUGGUGUCUUCGAAUGUCGAGAAGCAAUUAAUUUUUAUUUUUUUUUGGAAAAGGGUCUGCAUUGACGCAGAAUUUUUUUGAGGGGAAGGACUCAAUCUCUUCGACCCACAACACAAUUGUGCAGUCUCAAUUUUAGUAUUGUUUUGUCACCCAUUUAGCGAUGUAAUUCGAUUUUGUAUAUUUGUAAAGAUGAUUCACUGAAAAAGCGAAACAGUAGAUAGCUAGGUUGUAUCACAUAUAGUCCAGUCAAUCUGAACUAGUUUGUAUCAGAUAUCACGAAUGAUUACUGAAAUCAUAGUUGAAGUAAAUAUUCCUUUUGAGCAA